rnacentral:tRNA from 1 species
GCUCCCGUAGCUCAGUUGGAUAGAGUGCCAGACUCCGACUCUGGAGGUCGCGCGUUCGAGUCGCGCCGGGUGCGCCA